rnacentral:rRNA from 1 species
AUAAGACUGGGAUAACUUCGGGAAACCGUAGCUAAUACCGGAUAAUAUUUUGAACCGCAUGGUUCAAAAGUGAAAGACGGUCUUGCUGUCACUUAUAGAUGGAUCCGCGCUGCAUUAGCUAGUUGGUAAGGUAACGGCUUACCAAGGCAACGAUGCAUAGCCGACCUGAGAGGGUGAUCGGCCACACUGGAACUGAGACACGGUCCAGACUCCUACGGGAGGCAGCAGUAGGGAAUCUUCCGCAAUGGGCGAAAGCCUGACGGAGCAACGCCGCGUGAGUGAUGAAGGUCUUCGGAUCGUAAAACUCUGUUAUUAGGGAAGAACAUAUGUGUAAGUAACUGUGCACAUCUUGACGGUACCUAAUCAGAAAGCCACGGCUAACUACGUGCCAGCAGCCGCGGUAAUACGUAGGUGGCAAGCGUUAUCCGGAAUUAUUGGGCGUAAAGCGCGCGUAGGCGGUUUUUUAAGUCUGAUGUGAAAGCCCACGGCUCAACCGUGGAGGGUCAUUGGAAACUGGAAAACUUGAGUGCAGAAGAGGAAAGUGGAAUUCCAUGUGUAGCGGUGAAAUGCGCAGAGAUAUGGAGGAACACCAGUGGCGAAGGCGACUUUCUGGUCUGUAACUGACGCUGAUGUGCGAAAGCGUGGGGAUCAAACAGGAUUAGAUACCCUGGUAGUCCACGCCGUAAACGAUGAGUGCUAAGUGUUAGGGGGUUUCCGCCCCUUAGUGCUGCAGCUAACGCAUUAAGCACUCCGCCUGGGGAGUACGACCGCAAGGUUGAAACUCAAAGGAAUUGACGGGGACCCGCACAAGCGGUGGAGCAUGUGGUUUAAUUCGAAGCAACGCGAAGAACCUUACCAAAUCUUGACAUCCUUUGACAACUCUAGAGAUAGAGCCUUCCCCUUCGGGGGACAAAGUGACAGGUGGUGCAUGGUUGUCGUCAGCUCGUGUCGUGAGAUGUUGGGUUAAGUCCCGCAACGAGCGCAACCCUUAAGCUUAGUUGCCAUCAUUAAGUUGGGCACUCUAAGUUGACUGCCGGUGACAAACCGGAGGAAGGUGGGGAUGACGUCAAAUCAUCAUGCCCCUUAUGAUUUGGGCUACACACGUGCUACAAUGGACAAUACAAAGGGCAGCGAAACCGCGAGGUCAAGCAAAUCCCAUAAAGUUGUUCUCAGUUCGGAUUGUAGUCUGCAACUCGACUACAUGAAGCUGGAAUCGCUAGUAAUCGUAGAUCAGCAUGCUACGGUGAAUACGUUCCCGGGUCUUGUACACACCGCCCGUCACACCACGAGAGUUUGUAACACCCGAAGCCGGUGGAGUAACCUUUUAGGAGCUAGCCGUCGAAGGUGGGACAAAUGAUUGGGGUGAAGUCGUAACAAGGUAGCCGUAUCGGAAGGUGCGGCUGGAUCACCUCCUUU